UUAGUAAUUAACAUAGACUUUAGGUUCUUGGUUGCCCCAGAUUUGCUGAAUUAGAGCCAAGUGAGUAUCUACUUGCUUCAAAGUCUCAAGCAUGUAGUGCAACUUAUCAUCAAUGCUAGGUGGUUGAGAAUGUAGCUCUAAGUGAGUGACACGUUGAGUGAGUUUUGUCAUUAUCUCUAUGAUGUGAUUCAAUUUUUCAUCAACAUUACGUGGCUGGGUGGGCUGUGGAUCACUGCUGGCCAUAGCUCUAAUACCAAUUGAUGAGGUAAGCUAGGCUGAAAUAACGAACACUAGCAAACCCAUGAAAACCAGAAUUGCAGUGAACCUAACUCUAGGGAAUAUGGCUGAAAACAUGAAGUAAAUAGAACAUGCAAACUAUAAGCCCGAUGAAGUUGAAACUAAUAUAUCCUAGAGGUCCUAUGUUAAUGUUGUACUGAAUUUAAAUACUCAAAACUUUACCAAAACAGGAUCUUUUUAUAGAGAAUUAAUUCCAUAUUUAAGAGAAAUCAAAUUAAACAAAAUAAGAUGGUCAGAAUACUCUCAUAUUUAAACCAAGUUUAGCAAUAUGGGAUCAGAAUAAUUGCUGAAAAUCUGAGAUCAAGCGGAUGGCUGAAUCAAAAAAUAUGGACCAAUCCUAGUUAGACCAUGAUAAGGGAAAAAUAGUAAACUAAACAGAAAUCAGAAAUUAGGGUUGGAGUCUGGCAAUCAAUAAUGAAUAAUCUGAUGUCAGUAAAUAAAAUAGAACAGUAAAUUUGUAUACCUGGGUAUAAAAUAAUACCCAAGAAGAAACAGAGGCAGAAUUGGAAAACAUGAAUAAUUCCAGAUUGGCAGUUCAGAAUCUGCCCAAAUUAUAUUAGAUUAUAUUUUUGAUGGAGAGAAUCAAAAUUUGGAAGGAUUCUAAUGGUCGGAUUGCUUAAUCUUAAAUAAUAUGUAACAUUAAGAUUCUAGGUAGAACAAGAAUUUGCAGAAAAAUUCUAGGUUUGAACUUACUUGAUGGAUGAAGAA